CUUCUAGUUGUGUAAACUCUAUCUAGGGGUGAAAACAGAGGGCAAGUGAAGAUUUCAAACAACUAAAUAAGAAGAAAAAUAUUUACAGAAUGUGAAUCCUUGUGGCUGCUUGACAAUAAAUAAGCUCUAGCAUAAGUCUUACACUGCAGAGAGCAGUUCCAUCUCAAUGCUUCCAGAGACAUUCUAAACUCCAAGCAACAUCGGACAACUGUGAGGUCCUUCAUGCCAGAGCUGUGAGAAGAAAAAAAUUCCUCGGAAUAGGAAGUUGGAGGACUUUUUGUUCCCCACAAGGAAGGAGGACAGAGGGAACUCAAAAGAGAGAAAUCCCCAAGAACAUGCCUUUGAACCACACAUGUCCCAUCUUACUCUCUGGAUGUUGUUCAGUGCCUGUACUUUCUGAUCACCUGAAACUCUGAUCUGCAACACGUUAUAAUCUCCUCAUUAUCAAGCAGAAGGGACUGCUCUAUUCCAGUUUUACACCUGCACGCCUCAUUUGGAAUAGCAAUAAUGUGGUGAUUAGUCUAAGUGAAGUGUAUUUUAAAGUGGCUGAUAUGUUCUCUAAUGACAGACUGAGCACCUACUUUUUAUCACUUAUAUCUAUCUAUCUGCAGCUCAUUUAAAUUGCCAUACACAAUGGUCCUAGGAGAUAUAUUAUUAUCUCAUUUAACUCUGUGUAAAUAGCUUCACUUUGUGCCAUGUCUAAUAAGUCCAAGAAAAACUUUACCUCACCUUCACUGUGGUAAAGUCUUCCUUUCUAAUAACAUGAAAAAAUAGUGAAUUUGCCGUCAAAUUUAUAUUAGCAGGGACAGUUUGCAAGGCAGAGCGAGUUACAGAGCUCUCCACAUUUUAAGCUUAUAAAUUCAUCAUAGUUGACUCCAGCUAUGUUUUCACUGUUUCAGAUUUGUUGUUAUUAUUUUCAUUCCAAUAGGUGGUGCUGUGUUGAAACCUAAAUGAAUUUCAAAAUUUAUGUCUAUCUAUAUGCCUUCCUUGACAUUAUUAUCAAAUUUAUGCAAUUUCUAAUGUACAAUCUGAAGGAAAUGUUCCUAUUUUGAACAAUAAAAAUAUAUAUUUCUAGAGGACA
ensembl:lncRNA